rnacentral:rRNA from 1 species
AUUGAACGCUGGCGGAAUGCUUUACACAUGCAAGUCGAACGGCAGCACGGGUGCUUGCACCUGGUGGCGAGUGGCGAACGGGUGAGUAAUGCACCGGAACGUAUCCAAUAAUGGGGGAUAACGCACCGAAAGGUGUGCUAAUACCGCAUACGCCCUGAGGGGGAAAGCGGGGGAUCGUAAGACCUCGCGUUAAUGGAGCGGCCGAUGCCGGAUUAGCUAGUUGGUGAGGUAAAGGCUCACCAAGGCGACGAUCCGUAGCUGGUCUGAGAGGACGACCAGCCACACUGGAACUGAGACACGGUCCAGACUCCUACGGGAGGCAGCAGUGGGGAAUUUUUGGACAAUGGGCGCAAGCCUGAUCCAGCCACGCCGCGUGAGUGAUGAAGGCCUUCGGUCGUAAGCUCUGUGGGGAGGAGACGAACCGGCUGGGGUAACCCUUCGAGCAUGACGGUAUCUCCUUAGCAAGCACGGCUAACUUCGUGCCAGCAGCCGCGGUAAU